GUAUCACAGAGAAGAAAGCACAAUUCUUAGUAGCUCUCAAGGUUAUGGAGACAACACAUUCUAUACAAUGGGAAAACUGCUCUGUCCCAUCCAUGCGGUGAAUGAGGACUAGGUCAGGAAGGUGUUCUGCAAGCAUUGGAAUAAAUAACAGAAGAAAGAACAGCUAUAUUCCCCAGAUUUUUGCUGAUAUGAAUUAGAAAAUUAUUCCAAUUCUUUUGGUGGCUCAAACCAGAGUCUUGGAAUUCGCCGUAGAAUGAAAUGUGAAGUCUCACCUGCCCGGAUCAAAAACGGAGAAUGUUUCUUCACAUAUGAGUCACUACCCCUAGCAAAAGUGAGUUCAAUUAGUACUCCGGAAUCCGAACAAUCCCAACACUUGCCUUUCUUCCUUAGGGAAAAGAUGAGAGUGAAGAAAAUAACAGGGUUUCUGUCUAUCAGAAGCCAGCACAGUUCAGCUAACAAGAUCCAAGAGCUCCACACAGGAUUUGAGGCUGAAGACCUAAGACAAUUAAAACAAAUUUUUUUGUAUUGUU